AGUGAACGCUGGCGGCAGGCCUAACACAUGCAAGUCGAACGGCAGCACAGCAGUAGCAAUACUGUGGGUGGCGAGUGGCGGACGGGUGAGGAAUACAUCGGAAUCUACCUUGUCGUGGGG
rnacentral:rRNA from 1 species